rnacentral:lncRNA from 1 species
AACCGGGGUUUACAAUAAUCACACAUUGCGCACCAACGACUUGCGCUAGACCCUGAUGGUGUAUCGGAGAUGUUUAAUUAGAAAUAAGUUUUUGGUUUUUAAUUUACAUAAUGGUUUAUUGGUUUAAAUACAUGUUAUAAACAUGAAAAUGAAGAUUCAAUGGCUGCAAAAGAUGGUGGAAGACAAUCCCAAUCUACGGCAGCAAUGCUGCAUUGCCCUGCCCAACGGCGGGGUGUAAGGGCAUAGACUUCAAUGCUCUAGUCAGUAGGUGAUUCAUGUGGGUAAAAGUGAGAGGUUUAGAGUUAGAAUAAAAAUAUGCUUUGAUUUGUUAUUAUAUUGUUAGAAAGUGUACCUAUUUUCUGUUAGGAUAUAGGGUGAUAAUGGGUUUGGGCCAACCCAAGUAGGUAAGAUAGAUAUCAUUAAAGAUAUAGAUUUUUUUUUCUUUUGGGUACACAUUAAAGAUAUAUAAUUUAAGAAGUAUGUAUGUAAUUUGAACAACCAUUUUUUGGGCAACUUACGGGACAACCUAAGAUAUACAAAGAAAUAUAGGUUUUGGACGAAAACCAAAAAAAUAGGGAGAGUAAGUACACAAUGAGAGUAUGAGUUGUCACAAAAAUGGCUGUACAAAUAUCAUUUCUCAUAUAAGUAGAAAUUUCAGAGAUAUUGCAACAUCAUUUUAACCUUUUUUCUUUCUGCUAUUGCUUGUUUAAAUUAUUAUCCAAAGUGAAUGGGGUUGAUUUGGAUUAGCUUCACUGUUGUCGAUGGUGGAUGACAGAAGGCUGUGAAUCUGCUAUAUAUACACGCAAUUGUGACCUAUGGGUGUCUCCAUGGUGGGCAUCCCUUCACAAAUUGCCUAUGGUGUUUGUCAAAAAUCCGCCACACCGUUCCUCCAUGACUGCUAUUAAUCAACAUUGAUUAACUUCUAGCUAACACGGGUCUCAACUGAAAUGAGUAUUUGGUUCUUUAUUAAUGGGAAAACUCUUACAAUUGUUUUUGUUUUUGGAGAAGAUGAGAAAGCUUUGGGAAAAUUGAGACACGCAAAACUAAUUUCAAUUCACACGAGGAACUGUUAUUUAAAGGGUUACAGUCAUUGUAAAACCUUUUCUUUUGUUAUAAGUGAACAAGAAGUUAAUCUAAUUUGUUUUGAAGAUUGUGCAAAUGUUUUUGUUGUAUUCUGUUGUCCCAUAUAGUCUAUAAUUUAACAAAGUGGCUUGACUCAAGUGGUUGAUGAACUUCAUUUAAGAAUCUUUUGGGAGAAUACAAAUUCAAUUCUUGACUAAAACAAUUUUUCAUCAGACCCUACUUACCUCCCGACAGAACUCCGUAUUACCAACCAAAGCCCCUUUCAUAUCAUGGGAACCGAAGAGUUAAGACAAAAAUAAAAUAUAGUUUGUAAUUUUGUUUACCUUACAAUAUUGAAAAAUGAGUAGUCGAGUAUAUGGGUAGGAGUAGGACAACUAAAACAGCAACUUGUCCCUUGUUUGAUGAUGCAUUGGUCACUUAUUCUCAUGAUACAUUGCUCCUUGUUGUUGAUAUACUGUGUAAUAGAUAAGAUAACCAUUGACUUGUGACUAUGACAGCCAUCUAUGUGAUUGGAUUACCUUCUCCAAAACCAAUAAUGUACUUCAGAAGAAAAGGUGAUGAGUUGUAUUUGUUGAAUGAAAAAUCAACAAUUGAAAAAUGAAAUUCAAACAAUUUUGCAUGUGUAUAUACAAUGACACAACAACAACCAAACUUUAUUCCACUAGGGGUAAGCUGCAUGGAUCAAAUGAUUUCCUAUGCUUGUUCAUAGACCAUAUUUUUAUCGAAACCAUCGACUUAAGUCUUUCUUUAUAGUUUUUCAUGUUCUUCUUCUACCUUUGGUAAUUGGACUGCUCUACAUCUGAUCUUAUCUCCUUACUAUGGAACCUAUGUGGAGUAUAUUCAAUUAAAUGCAAUAACGCUGCAUAUUAUUCCUUGUUGGGACGGGGAAUCCCUCAAAUAUCAU